ensembl:lncRNA
AAGAACAAACAGCGGUCGUGGGGGGAGUGGAAGAAAGGAACACGGCCACCAAGAUCGAAGCCCUGGGCCCUGCCUAACAGCGGCAGGUGGCGUAGAAACAGCAGGGAGUGCCAGUGCCAGGGGGAAGGCCCAUGAUGGAGGCAGCUUCAGUUGCGAAUUCAGGAGAGUUUUCUCCCUGGCUUGCACAGGGACGAAUUCGUAGGACGUGCACGGGGCGGUGUGUGGGGGGGUCCUGUCUCUGAAUUGUCCUGCCAAUCCCUUUUCCACACCCGGUGCCAAAAGGAGGGCUUGCCUGGCCUCCCUUCUCCCCACUUGCUCUCUGCUCUCCCCUCUUGCCUGCUCUCAGUCUCUUUAGCCGGCUAGAACCGUCUACCUUUCCUUAUAUAGCCGAGGCCAAAAGGAUUUCUCACUCUCCUUAUUAUGAACAGGCGGAGCAGGGUUUGGAAGGGGGGGGGGAGAGACUGCCAAAAAUAGCAAGCAAGCACGGUCCAGGGGGUGAGGGCGGGAGAGAGCGCCGAGCAAGGGAGGUCUGUCCCGGGCUGGCUGCACAUCUGCAAAGGACACCGCUCUGCACCCGGGACCAGAGGGUGCAAGGAGGAACGGCUGGCUUUGGCGGAGGGCCUCGGAGCGAGGUCUGAGGCUUGCGAGGAGAAGCUCCGUGGUUUAAGCCUCUGGUUGUGGAGCCCGAGUUUGGGAGUUUGAUUCCCCCACGGUGCCUCCUGGACAGGAGCUGGAUUCAGGGUACCUUCCAGCUCUGUAGUUCUAGAUGAUGAUGAUGAUGAUGAAAAGGAAGAAAAACUUUUAAAAGCCUCCAGAUUCUCCCUCAUCUCUGCCUCAAGGCGACUGAGCAGAGAGGGCCCUUCCACUUGUCAUUUUUAGAAGAUUCUUACAAGGCAAGGUCUUCAAAAGCAACUUUCCUAAUCUUGGGUUCACACACGCAGAAAAAAACAAAAGAAAAACAGUGUUGAUGGUGUGUUGCAAGGUUUCUGUCUAAAAACAUCCCAAGGGUGUUGUUGAUACCUGAAACCAUUAAAAAGGAGGCCUCUUUUGAAAAAUGUUAAGAGUUUGGCUUUUAUAUAUUGACAUUUUGCUUAGCUUCAGCAGCCGUUUGUUUUGACAAUAACAUCAAAGGCGGCAGCGCUGUGUUCUUCUCCAAAUACGUGUUCUUCCCCAGGCGGUCAAUCUAUGGUGUUUGCAAUGGGCAGAACAGACUCUGAGAUCAGCAACAUCUAGGGCUGUCAGACUGAAGUUCUAGGACUCCUUGCAAGAAUAUGAAACUUCUGCAAAAAUUCAGAUUCUCCCAGUGCUGGAGUGUAAUGAGAGAGUGUGUCCAAGAUCGCUCCUAAGGCUCUCCUCGUGUCCCUAGUAAAUCCCAGCUCCACGUCCUCACCUAGAGGAGGACUCAUCACCAAACUGCCCUUUCCCACAGAGCAAAGAGAGGGAGAAAUUUGUUUCAAAUUCAAUGGUGAGGAAAUCCACAAUUAGAAGCAGUACAUAUUUCUAUGCCUAGAACAGCAGUGUUUUGUAACUGUGGAUGUUCAUAAAAAGGAGAAGAUUUUGGCUUCUUUUCCUCCCUCCUGCUUUUCUCCUACAGACAUACAGGGCAUUAAAAUGAUCUUAACUUAAAAAUGGCAUUCA